rnacentral:rRNA from 1 species
UGGGGAAUAUUGGAUAAUGGGGGGAACCCUGAUCCAGCCAUGCCGCGUGUGUGAAGAAGGCCUUAUGGUUGUAAAGCACUUUAAGCGAGGAGGAGGGUACUGUUAUUCAUACUACCAGGUACUGGACGUUACUCGCAGAAUAAGUACUGGCUAACUCUGUGCCAGCAGCCGCUGUAAUACAGAGGGUGCGAGCGUUAAUCGGAUUUACUGGGCGUAAAGCGUGCGUAGGCGGCUAAUUGAGUCGGAUGUGAAAUCCCCGAGCUUAACUUGGGAAUUGCAUUCGAUACUGGUUAGCUAGAGUGUGGGAGAGGAUGGUAGAAUUCCAGGUGUAGCGGUGAAAUGCGUAGAGAUCUGGAGGAAUACCGAUGGCGAAGGCAGCCAUCUGGCCUAACACUGACGCUGAGGUACGAAAGCAUGGGGAGCAAACAGG